rnacentral:tRNA from 1 species
GGUGUAGUUCAAUGGUAGAGUGCAUGUUUAGUAUGUAUGGAGCCCUGGGUUCAAUUUCCAGCACC